GAUGAACGCUGGCGGCGUGCCUAAUACAUGCAAGUCGAGCGAACGGACGAGAAGCUUGCUUCUCUGAUGUUAGCGGCGGACGGGUGAGUAACACGUGGAUAACCUACCUAUAAGACUGGGAUAACUUCGGGAAACCGGAGCUAAUACCGGAUAAUAUUUUGAACCGCAUGGUUCAAAAGUGAAAGACGGUCUUGCUGUCACUUAUAGAUGGAUCCGCGCUGCAUUAGCUAGUUGGUAAGGUAACGGCUUACCAAGGCAACGAUGCAUAGCCGACCUGAGAGGGUGAUCGGCCACACUGGAACUGAGACACGGUCCAGACUCCUACGGGAGGCAGCAGUAGGGAAUCUUCCGCAAUGGGCGAAAGCCUGACGGAGCAACGCCGCGUGAGUGAUGAAGGUCUUCGGAUCGUAAAACUCUGUUAUUAGGGAAGAACAUAUGUGUAAGUAACUGUGCACAUCUUGACGGUACCUAAUCAGAAAGCCACGGCUAACUACGUGCCAGCAGCCGCGGUAAUACGUAGGUGGCAAGCGUUAUCCGGAAUUAUUGGGCGUAAAGCGCGCGUAGGCGGUUUUUUAAGUCUGAUGUGAAAGCCCACGGCUCAACCGUGGAGGGUCAUUGGAAACUGGAAAACUUGAGUGCAGAAGAGGAAAGUGGAAUUCCAUGUGUAGCGGUGAAAUGCGCAGAGAUAUGGAGGAACACCAGUGGCGAAGGCGACUUUCUGGUCUGUAACUGACGCUGAUGUGCGAAAGCGUGGGGAUCAAACAGGAUUAGAUACCCUGGUAGUCCACGCCGUAAACGAUGAGUGCUAAGUGUUAGGGGGUUUCCGCCCCUUAGUGCUGCAGCUAACGCAUUAAGCACUCCGCCUGGGGAGUACGACCGCAAGGUUGAAACUCAAAGGAAUUGACGGGGACCCGCACAAGCGGUGGAGCAUGUGGUUUNUUAUUCGAGCACGCGAAGAACCUUACCAAAUCUUGACAUCCUUUGACAACUCUAGAGAUAGAGCCUUCCCCUUCGGGGGACAAAGUGACAAGGGGUGCAUGGUUGUCGUCAGCUCGUGUCGUGAGAUGUUGGGUUAAGUCCCGCAACGAGCGCAACCCUUAAGCUUAGUUGCCAUCAUUAAGUUGGGCACUCUAAGUUGACUGCCGGUGACAAACCGGAGGAAGGUGGGGAUGACGUCAAAUCAUCAUGCCCCUUAUGAUUUGGGCUACACACGUGCUACAAUGGACAAUACAAAGGGCAGCGAAACCGCGAGGUCAAGCAAAUCCCAUAAAGUUGUUCUCAGUUCGGAUUGUAGUCUGCAACUCGACUACAUGAAGCUGGAAUCGCUAGUAAUCGUAGAUCAGCAUGCUACGGUGAAUACGUUCCCGGGUCU
rnacentral:rRNA from 1 species